CAUUAAUUUGCGCAAUGUUGCCAGUUGUGGUAUACUGUAUGUGAAGUCGUAUUAAAGAUUAAAUGAAGGAUGCCAUGUUGACAGACUUUUCUUUUAAAUAUUAAAAUUAAAUGAAAGCCGAGGACAUUAUAAAAGGAUGACCAUCAUGUAUGAUUCUUAUCUGCAAGGAGCCUAACACCCUCUUCCACUAAAUUAACAGUGACCACAUAAUCGAACUGGACGAAGGAGUACAAACUAGAUCUUAACAUCACAGGCGAUGGCAUGGAAUUUUCGGCUGUCUACCAUCCUAUGAUUUUAACUAUCUAUCGUUGAGCUCCUGCAUAGUGAGGCCUGCAUGCUUUCAGUUAAGGAACACAUUGUACUCCUAUGCAAGGAGUUUCCGCAGUCGUUUUAACAUAUCCAAUGAGUCUCCACUUAUUUAAUACUCCUCUCUCUAUGUGUCUCACCCCGAUGAAACAGCAUAUUCCCUGAGCCUCCCGUUAGGUGACUUGACAAUGACAAUCAACCAGAACCAUACCAGUUAAGAAGCGAUGAGAUAACCGCUACAGCAAACAUAAAAACAAGUUCAAACUAAAAUUAACAAAUUUUAUUGCACACAGACAAGAAGUACAUAUAUGUAUAUGUUAAAAAUUAAAUAAAUGUUUUUAAUAAAUAAAGCAAUAAUUGAAGUGCUAA